rnacentral:rRNA from 1 species
UACAGAGGGUGCGAGCGUUAAUCGGAGUAACUGGGCGUAAAGGGCACGUAGGCGGUUAUAUUAGUCUGAUGUGAAAGACCUGGGCUUAACCUGGGAUGUGCAUUGGAAACGGUAUGGCUAGAGUAUGGGAGAGGGAAGUGGAAUUUCCGGUGUAGCGGUGAAAUGCGUAGAGAUCGGAAAGAACACUCGUGGCGAAGGCGGCUUUCUGGCCCAAAACUGACGCUGAGGUGCGAAAGCGUGGGGAGCAAACAGG